rnacentral:tRNA from 1 species
GGGCCCGUAGCUCAGCUUGGAUAGAGCGGCAGCCUCCUAAGCUGAAGGUCGUGGGUUCAAAUCCCACCGGGCCCG